rnacentral:rRNA from 1 species
UACGGAGGGGGCUAGCGUUGUUCGGAAUUACUGGGCGUAAAGCGCACGUAGGCGGCUUUGUAAGUUAGAGGCGAAAGCCCGGGGCUCAACUCCGGAAUUGCCUUUAAGACUGCAUCGCUAGAAUUGUGGAGAGGUAAGUGGAAUUCCGAGUGUAGAGGUGAAAUUCGUAGAUAUUCGGAAGAACACCAGUGGCGAAGGCGACUUACUGGACACAUAUUGACGCUGAGGCGCGAAAGCGUGGGGAGCAAACAGG